rnacentral:tRNA from 2 species
GCACCGCUAGCUCAAUCGGUAGAGCAGUUGACUCUUAAUCAAUUGGUUGAAGGUUCGAGUCCUUCGCGGUGCACCA